GGUCACUAAUCUGGCUGCUAUUACUAGACUAAAGAAUGUAGACGUGUAGCGGGUUUAAAAAUCCAAGACAUUUUGGCUGAUAAAUGUUAGGGCCAAUCUGUUGUGGAUGUGGUUCUGUUAUUAGCCUCAUGUUUGCUUGAAAUUGUCUAUUUUGCUUAAUAGCCAUCCAUGUUGUCUAUUUUGCUUAAUCCCCGCCGUCAUGUCCCUCCAUUCCCUGAUCUAUCAAAACAAAUGUAGAAGAAGAGAAGGGGCCUGCUCCUGCCGCCGGAUCUGCUUGGCUUUGGAAAAGCUAGAUGAAAAUAAGGAGAGAAGGGAGGGAGGAGGUCGUGGUCUCCUUGAGUGGAGAUAUGUAUUGUGUCUUGACCGGUCAAGAAACACCUGUCAAUAUACAUCGGCACCACAUGGGCUACGACUGCUAUCGAAUCCUUGAAGCCAAAGCUAAAGAGAAUGCUCCAUCACCAGCUUCCCCCUUGCAAGCCGACCUAUGUGUCCAGCUGAGUUGAAGAUAAUGCAAAAAUUUGAAGGUGACUAAAAAAUCUGAAGACAGGGUGUGGACAGGAAUUGCAUUCAGAAAAUUUAUAACUAAAACCGCUCGCUUAGCUGUAUCGUCAAAUGCAGAAUAAUUACAAGCUAAUCUAAUUGAUGAUUUUUAUCAUUUCGGGUUUGGGAAAAGGUAAAUAUGUUGGAUUUAAGCAUAAAUAAAUUUUCUUACUUUCAACAUCGUCCAGUACUAGAAAACCUUGGAUUUAUCAUAUUUUUAAGAUGAAGGAAAUCAUCAUUGACAAGUUUUAUAUAUCAGCAUUGGUGGUAGCUUAAACCCUGUACAACAUUGUUUAGAAUAAUAUCAGUUGAGUUAUGGUAAUUAGAUCAAAUAUGAUUGUGUGCCGUCGCAACACACAGGCGUUGUACUAUGAUACUUGCUAUUGGGAGUAUGAUUUUCCAUGCCACCUUGCAACUUCUA